rnacentral:rRNA from 1 species
GACGAACGCUGGCGGCGUGCUUAACACAUGCAAGUCGAACGGAGUGGCGAACGGGUGAGUAACACGUGGGUGAUCUGCCUUGCACUUCGGGAUACGCUUGGGAAACUGGGUCUAAUACCGGAUAGUGCAAGAUGAGCUCGCGGCCUAUCAGCUUGUUGGUGGGGUAAUGGCCGACCAAGGCGUCGACCGGUAGCCGGCCUGAGAGGGUGUACGGGCACAUUGGGACUGAGAUACGGACCAGAGGCGUACGGGGGGCAGCGGGGGGGAAUAUUGCACAAUGAGCGGAAGCGUGUUGCAGCGACGCCGCGGGGGUAAUGAAGUCCUUCGGGUUGUAAACUCCUUUCGGCAGGGACGCGGUACCUGUAUAAGAAGCACCGGCUAACUACGUGCCAGCAGCCGCGGUAAUAC